rnacentral:rRNA from 1 species
GGCGAGUGGCGAACGGGUGAGUAAUAUAUCGGAACGUACCUAGUAAUGGGGAACAACCAGCCGAAAGGUUGGCUAAUACCGCAUACGACCUACGGGUGAAAGCAGGGGAUCUUCGGACCUUGCGUUAUUAGAGCGGCCGAUAUCUGAUUAGGUAGUUGGUGGGGUAAAGGCCUACCAAGCCGACGAUCAGUAGCUGGUCUGAGAGGACGAUCAGCCACACUGGAACUGAGACACGGUCCAGACUCC